UUAAGCGACUAAGCGUACACGGUGGAUGCCCUGGCAGUCAGAGGCGAUGAAGGACGUGCUAAUCUGCGAUAAGCGUCGGUAAGGUGAUAUGAACCGUUAUAACCGGCGAUUUCCGAAUGGGGAAACCCAGUGUGAUUCGUCACACUAUCAUUAACUGAAUCCAUAGGUUAAUGAGGCGAACCGGGGGAACUGAAACAUCUAAGUACCCCGAGGAAAAGAAAUCAACCGAGAUUCCCCCAGUAGCGGCGAGCGAACGGGGAGCAGCCCAGAGCCUGAAUCAGUGUGUGUGUUAGUGGAAGCGUCUGGAAAGGCGCGCGAUACAGGGUGACAGCCCCGUACACAAAAAUGCACAUGCUGUGAGCUCGAUGAGUAGGGCGGGACACGUGGUAUCCUGUCUGAAUAUGGGGGGACCAUCCUCCAAGGCUAAAUACUCCUGACUGACCGAUAGUGAACCAGUACCGUGAGGGAAAGGCGAAAAGAACCCCGGCGAGGGGAGUGAAAAAGAACCUGAAACCGUGUACGUACAAGCAGUGGGAGCCUCUUUUAUGGGGUGACUGCGUACCUUUUGUAUAAUGGGUCAGCGACUUAUAUUCUGUAGCAAGGUUAACCGAAUAGGGGAGCCGAAGGGAAACCGAGUCUUAACUGGGCGUUAAGUUGCAGGGUAUAGACCCGAAACCCGGUGAUCUAGCCAUGGGCAGGUUGAAGGUUGGGUAACACUAACUGGAGGACCGAACCGACUAAUGUUGAAAAAUUAGCGGAUGACUUGUGGCUGGGGGUGAAAGGCCAAUCAAACCGGGAGAUAGCUGGUUCUCCCCGAAAGCUAUUUAGGUAGCGCCUCGUGAAUUCAUCUCCGGGGGUAGAGCACUGUUUCGGCAAGGGGGUCAUCCCGACUUACCAACCCGAUGCAAACUGCGAAUACCGGAGAAUGUUAUCACGGGAGACACACGGCGGGUGCUAACGUCCGUCGUGAAGAGGGAAACAACCCAGACCGCCAGCUAAGGUCCCAAAGUCAUGGUUAAGUGGGAAACGAUGUGGGAAGGCCCAGACAGCCAGGAUGUUGGCUUAGAAGCAGCCAUCAUUUAAAGAAAGCGUAAUAGCUCACUGGUCGAGUCGGCCUGCGCGGAAGAUGUAACGGGGCUAAACCAUGCACCGAAGCUGCGGCAGCGACACUGUGUGUUGUUGGGUAGGGGAGCGUUCUGUAAGCCUGCGAAGGUGUGCUGUGAGGCAUGCUGGAGGUAUCAGAAGUGCGAAUGCUGACAUAAGUAACGAUAAAGCGGGUGAAAAGCCCGCUCGCCGGAAGACCAAGGGUUCCUGUCCAACGUUAAUCGGGGCAGGGUGAGUCGACCCCUAAGGCGAGGCCGAAAGGCGUAGUCGAUGGGAAACAGGUUAAUAUUCCUGUACUUGGUGUUACUGCGAAGGGGGGACGGAGAAGGCUAUGUUGGCCGGGCGACGGUUGUCCCGGUUUAAGCGUGUAGGCUGGUUUUCCAGGCAAAUCCGGAAAAUCAAGGCUGAGGCGUGAUGACGAGGCACUACGGUGCUGAAGCAACAAAUGCCCUGCUUCCAGGAAAAGCCUCUAAGCAUCAGGUAACAUCAAAUCGUACCCCAAACCGACACAGGUGGUCAGGUAGAGAAUACCAAGGCGCUUGAGAGAACUCGGGUGAAGGAACUAGGCAAAAUGGUGCCGUAACUUCGGGAGAAGGCACGCUGAUAUGUAGGUGAAGUCCCUCGCGGAUGGAGCUGAAAUCAGUCGAAGAUACCAGCUGGCUGCAACUGUUUAUUAAAAACACAGCACUGUGCAAACACGAAAGUGGACGUAUACGGUGUGACGCCUGCCCGGUGCCGGAAGGUUAAUUGAUGGGGUCAGCGCAAGCGAAGCUCUUGAUCGAAGCCCCGGUAAACGGCGGCCGUAACUAUAACGGUCCUAAGGUAGCGAAAUUCCUUGUCGGGUAAGUUCCGACCUGCACGAAUGGCGUAAUGAUGGCCAGGCUGUCUCCACCCGAGACUCAGUGAAAUUGAACUCGCUGUGAAGAUGCAGUGUACCCGCGGCAAGACGGAAAGACCCCGUGAACCUUUACUAUAGCUUGACACUGAACAUUGAGCCUUGAUGUGUAGGAUAGGUGGGAGGCUUUGAAGUGUGGACGCCAGUCUGCAUGGAGCCGACCUUGAAAUACCACCCUUUAAUGUUUGAUGUUCUAACG
rnacentral:rRNA from 1 species